CAAACAAUUGCUGACUGAAUCCAAGAGUUCAACAGAGAAGCUCAGAGGAUUUUUGUGCAAGCAACUGGUCAGUAAUGGCUGACCACCUGGGGUCUACCAGGGAAUACGAUAGUCCCUGGAGUGGUGCAGAACUGCAGGGCACUUCCCCUGUGCUGUCUGGAGUAACUUGUGUUGGUGAGCAGGGCUGCAGUGAGACCUGAUGUCUGCCCCCAGCCCACCGCUGGGUCCACAGUCAGACUGGAGGAUGUCUCUGGCUGCUGUGGACAGAGCAGCAGGAAGAAGAGCAGAGCAAGUAGUUUGGACGCUACUGAUAUAGGUAAAGCAGUUAACACUUUGGCCAACACAACAAAUAUUCAAUCAAAAGGACAUUAGAAGAAAAAAAACCCACUUCAAGGCAAACAACAUAAAGAAUUUCCAUAUGCCUCCCCUGUCAUUUCUUGGUGCUCUUGUCUGAGAUGAAUGUGGGGCCAAAUAAAAGCACUGGUCUGAUCCACUUAGGUGUCUCCUAAGGAACAUUAUAUUCAAUGUUGAAAAGGUAUAAAAGUCCAUCCCUAUCUGUAUAUCAAAAUCGUAUCAACUUAAAAUGACUCUAGUAAAUGAAGGAGUUCCUGGGUGGCUCAGUCAGUUGAGCAACCGACUUCGGCUCAAGUCAUGAUCUCACAGCUCGUGAGUUUGAGCCCCACGUCAGGCUCUGUACUGACAGCUCGGAGCCUGGAGCCUGCUUCACAUUCUGUGUCUCCCUCUUUCUCUGCCCCUAAUCCACUUGCAUUCUGUCUCU